rnacentral:misc_RNA from 1 species
CAGAGUUGCAAGACUCCCUAAACCAUUGUGAACCUACCUUCUACCGUUGCUUCGGCGGGCGGGCCCAGCGCCCCCCCCGGCCCCCCGCGGGGCGCCCGCCGGAGGAUACCCAAACUCUUGACAUUAGUGGCCUCUCUGAGUAUUCUUUACUGAAUAAGUCA